rnacentral:rRNA from 1 species
UACGGAGGGUGCAAGCGUUAAUCGGAAUUACUGGGCGUAAAGCGUGCGCAGGCGGUUUGUUAAGUCUGUUGUGAAAUCCCCGAGCUCAGCUUGGGAAUUGCAAUGGAUACUGGCAGGCUGGAGUAUGGUAGAGGAAGGUGGAAUUCCCGGUGUAGCAGUGAAAUGCGUAGAGAUCGGGAGGAACACCAGUGGCGAAGGCGGCCUUCUGGACCAAUACUGACGCUCAUGCACGAAAGCGUGGGGAGCAAACAGG